rnacentral:rRNA from 1 species
UACGUAGGGUGCAAGCGUUAAUCGGAAUUACUGGGCGUAAAGCGUGCGCAGGCGGUCUUGCAAGACAGAUGUGAAAUCCCCGGGCUCAACCUGGGAACUGCAUUUGUGACUGCAAGGCUGGAGUGCGGUAGAGGGGGAUGGAAUUCCGCGUGUAGCAGUGAAAUGCGUAGAUAUGCGAAGGAACGCCGGUGGCGAAAGCGGCGUGCUGGACCCCUUCUGACGCUGAGGCGCGAAAGCCAGGGGAGCGAACGGG